AUGUGCAGUGCUGCAAAAUGUCACCAUCAAUAUCACAAAAAAAACUGAGUGAAUCAAAAACCUUGUCAGCGUCACGUACUCAAUUGCGAUUAUCACAGGUGAAAUUCUCAAGUGGUUGUAACGAGUGGUAUGAUUGGUGACAAUUUGGGAAUAAACUUUUAGUCAAUCACUGUUAUGAAAUUUUCUGGACCAGGAGCAGCACUGUAAAAUAUCACUGUUUCAGUCACCAACGCUCAUGACUGAAACGAACCUCAAAUCAGCUCACGUACACAAGUGCGAUGAUCAGACGCAAGAUGAACAUAGUCGUUGUGACGUGUGACCAGAUUGGUGACAUUGCAGCAACCACCUCUUGGUCGGUCACUUUGACGUGACUUUGUUUGUCUGUGAUCAAUUUCGAAAUGUCACUGGUUCUAUCACGAGCACUCGUGAUUGAAAUGAAAUUCAUUUCGGUUCACGUACACAUGUGCGAUGAUCAGGGGUAAGACGCACAUGGUCGUUGUGACGUCUGAUCUGAUUGGUGAUAUUUUGGUAACCAACUUCUGGUCAAUCAGUUUGUCGUGAUUUUUUGGUAUUUUAUUAUCGCGAUAGACUUAGAAUAUACGUGGCGCGGGCGAGUGGUGUUUUAUUAACCAUGUGCAUAUGAUUACAAGCAGUAGUCGGUUCUGCUAGCUGGUUAAAUGAUCCCGCAUCCUACAUAUAUUGCCAGACUCAUUUUGCUGAUCCAAACGUUUAUAAAAACACUUAGACCCACAAACAGCCGGCAAUGGAAUUUCAGGCGAUUUGGAAGGAGGGAAGGAAGAGUCAGUACGACUUUUAGCGGACAUUACCUAAGUUUCUUGUCCAGAUGACCAAUUUUACGCUGUUUGAUGGUAACGGGAAUCCUAUGUUAAUGAUGAUCUCCGGGGGCGGAUACACGGGCUGUUGUUGGUGGCAGUGGAUAGACGCUAGGUGUCAGCAUGCCGUGCCCGUUAGAAAAUCCGUACCCGUGCGCGGUGUCAAUUGCGCCAAAGGUGGAUUAUGAAAGGUGCAGGAAUUUGGUGGCUUUGUCUAGAGUUAGUGCUUUCGGAUAUGAAAAUAAUAAAACCAGGAUGUAAAACAAAAA